rnacentral:rRNA from 1 species
UACGAAGGGGGCUAGCGUUGUUCGGAUUUACUGGGCGUAAAGCGCACGUAGGCGGAUCUUUAAGUCAGGGGUGAAAUCCCGAGGCUCAACCUCGGAACUGCCUUUGAUACUGGGGAUCUCGAGUCCGGGAGAGGUGAGUGGAACUGCGAGUGUAGAGGUGAAAUUCGUAGAUAUUCGGAGGAACACCAGUGGCGAAGGCGGCCCCCUGGAGUCAAUACUGACGCUGAGGUGCGAAAGACGUGGGG